GCAUCGGUGGUUCAGUGGUAGAAUGCUCGCCUGCC
rnacentral:ncRNA from 2 species